rnacentral:rRNA from 1 species
GACGAACGCUGGCGGCGUGCUUAACACAUGCAAGUCGAACGAUGAAGCUGGAGCUUGCUCUAGCGGAUUAGUGGCGAACGGGUGAGUAACACGUGAGCAAUCUGCCCUUGACUCUGGGAUGACUGCGGGAAACUGUAGCUAAUACCGGAUACUUUCACCGGGGGGCAUCCUCUGGUGAUGAAAGGAUUUCGGUCAAGGAUGAGCUCGCGGCCUAUCAGCUUGUUGGUGAGGUAACGGCUCACCAAGGCGACGACGGGUAACCGGCCUGAGAGGGUGACCGGUCACACUGGGACUGAGACACGGCCCAGACUCCUACGGGAGGCAGCAGUGGGGAAUAUUGCACAAUGGGCGCAAGCCUGAUGCAGCAACGCCGCGUGAGGGAUGAAGGCCUUCGGGUUGUAAACCUCUUCUAGCAGGGAAGAAGCGAAAGUGACGGUACCUGCAGAAAAAGCACCGGCUAACUACGUGCCAGCAGCCGCGGUAA